GAGUCAAGAUGUUAGUAUAAACACCCGCCAUUUCUUUCAAUAACCAGAUUUUGUUUCCAGUUAUAGCCCAAGACGAGCUGGCUCUUGGUUGAGUGUUUCUGUACCACCUCUCUACACGCUCCUUCCAAUGACUGCAGACUCAAACCAGAUGUGGCGAGUCUGACCUAUGUGAACAGUAUAUCAGUUAUCUCCACUCCUUCUGAGGGCCCCUGGCAGGAGACCAAGAAAGACUGGGCCCAGUCAGCUGACAAAAAGAGCACCUGGAGACCUGAUUUGGACACGAAUGGUGCUGAUUAUGACAUGGUACUCAGACACCUUUAUUUGAAGCUAAAAGCGAAACCAGCAACAUCUGCUUUGAUAGAAAGCCUUUUAACAUAUGUGAUCCUACAAAGGCACCAACAAACAUAAAUCCGCUGAUACUGCGAAGACCAGCUGAAAAGAAUGGCAAGAUUCUUUCUUGCAUGAAGCUUGUUCAUAUUUGUCCAGUCUUAGUGGCCAUCUCAUAAUUUGUG
ensembl:lincRNA